GCUACCGGGCGACCGGAUGCGGAUCUCGAAAGCCUGUCCCAGUUCGGACUGGAGUCUGCAACCCGACUCCACGAAGUUGGAUUCGCUAGUAAUCGCGCAUCAGCCAUGGCGCGGUGAAUACGUUCCCGGGCCUUGUACACACCGCCCGUCACACCAUGAGAGUCGGGAACACCCGAAGUCCGUAGCCUAACCGCAAGGAGGGCGCGGCCGAAGGUGGGUUCGAUAAUUGGGGUGAAGUCGUAACAAGGUAGC
rnacentral:rRNA from 1 species